UGCAAGUCGAGCGAACAGAGAAGGAGCUUGCUCCUUUGACGUUAGCGGCGGACGGGUGAGUAACACGUGGGCAACCUACCUUAUAGUUUGGGAUAACUCCGGGAAACCGGGGCUAAUACCGAAUAAUCUGUUUCACCUCAUGGUGAAAUAUUGAAAGACGGUUUCGGCUGUCGCUAUAGGAUGGGCCCGCGGCGCAUUAGCUAGUUGGUGAGGUAACGGCUCACCAAGGCGACGAUGCGUAGCCGACCUGAGAGGGUGAUCGGCCACACUGGGACUGAGACACGGCCCAGACUCCUACGGGAGGCAGCAGUAGGGAAUCUUCCACAAUGGGCGAAAGCCUGAUGGAGCAACGCCGCGUGAGUGAAGAAGGAUUUCGGUUCGUAAAACUCUGUUGUAAGGGAAGAACAAGUACAGUAGUAACUGGCUGUACCUUGACGGUACCUUAUUAGAAAGCCACGGCUAACUACGUGCCAGCAGCCGCGGUAAUACGUAGGUGGCAAGCGUUGUCCGGAAUUAUUGGGCGUAAAGCGCGCGCAGGUGGUUUCUUAAGUCUGAUGUGAAAGCCCACGGCUCAACCGUGGAGGGUCAUUGGAAACUGGGAGACUUGAGUGCAGAAGAGGAUAGUGGAAUUCCAAGUGUAGCGGUGAAAUGCGUAGAGAUUUGGAGGAACACCAGUGGCGAAGGCGACUAUCUGGUCUG
rnacentral:rRNA from 1 species